CGGGUUGUAAAGCACGUUUUAGUGGGGAUGAAAAGUUCAGGCUAAUAUCCUUGGGCAUUGACCUAACCCACAGAAAAAGCACCGGCUAACUCUGUGC
rnacentral:rRNA from 1 species